rnacentral:lncRNA from 1 species
GUACUGCUUUUACUGUCUUAAAAAACAAAUGCAGGAAAGUUUACCUGUUAGUACUAAUUUUUGAAUAGCUUCCUUUUCCAUCACUAAAGAAGAGGGCCUUGUUAGUAACUGGCCUGCUCUCUCAUGUGGAGAAUGGAAGCCAUGUCAGUUGGAUAUGUCAGCCUCUGCUGUUUCUCUAAUUCCAGAUGGUACAUGAAUUUGUAUUUGAAAUUGAAUAGCUUUAUGCCUUUCCCAGCUUAGUAAUUCACCCCUUGGAAAAGAAAUAACCUCUCACUUAUAUUCCAUUUUUUCUUUUCCUUCCAAAUGCCAGUCUGUUAUUCAAAAGCCACUC